rnacentral:tRNA from 1 species
GGCGGUGUGGUUUAGUGGUUAGAGCGCUGGGCUUGUAACCGAAAGGUUCCUGGUUUGACUCCCAGGUAGUACACAGUCA